CCUACGGGGGGCUGCAGUGAGGAAUAUUGGUCAAUGGCCGGAAGGCUGAACCAGCCAUGCCGCGUGAAGGUCAGUGCCCUAUGGGCGUUAAACUUCUUUUGUGCGGGAGCAAUAAUGGUCACGUGUGGCCAGACGAGAGUACCGUACGAAUAAGCAUCGGCUCACUCCGUGCCAGCAGCCGCGGUAAUACGGGGGAUGCAAGCGUUAUCCGGAUUUAUUGGGUUUAAAGGGUGCGUAGGCUGUGAGGUAAGUCAGCGGUGAAAUGCCCCCGCUCAACGGGGUGAAGUGCCAUUGAUACUGCCUGGCUGGAAUGCGGAUGCCGUGGGAGGAAUGUGUGGUGUAGCGGUGAAAUGCAUAGAUAUCACACAGAACACCGAUUGCGAAGGCAUCUCACGAAUCCGCGAUUGACGCUGAUGCACGAAAGCGUGGGUAUCAAACAGGAUUAGAUACCCGAGUAGUC
rnacentral:rRNA from 1 species